GAUGAAGAACGUAGCGAAAUGCGAUAAGUAGUGUGAAUUGCAGAAUUCUGGAAUCAUCGAAUCUUUGAACGCACAUUGCGCCCGCCAGUAUUCUGGCGGGCAUGCCUGUUCGAGCGUCAUUUCAACCAUCAAGCCCCAGGCUUGUGUUGGGGACCUGCGGCUGCCGCAGGCCCUGAAAACCAGUGGCGGGCUCGCUGUCACACCGGGCGUAGUAGAUUUUAUCUCGCUCAGGGCGUGCUGCGGGUUCCGGCCGUUAAAAAGCCUUUUUUACCCAAGGUUGACCUCGGAUCAGGUAGGAAGACCCGCUGAACUUAAGCAUAUCAAUAAGCGGAGGA
rnacentral:misc_RNA from 1 species